UCCCUAUGAGGUGGACAAAAAGAUUAGUGACACUAGCUACGCAGUAAAAACUCCUGAUCGAAGGAGAAAAUUGAGGGUUUGCCACGUUAACAUGCUUAAACGCUAUGCUUCUAGAGAGGACGCGGCAGCUGAAAAAACCUCACCCAUAGCGCCUGUCUCUGUGCUCCUCCGUGGUUGGUGCAUCCAGGGUGGAUGGCUCGCACCGAUUGGCUGACGACCGGGAGGCAGCGGAUGAGAAGAGACCACCAGGGACUGCCAUUCAUUCAUCCUCGGCCCAACCCAACCGGCAGACCGUUCACUGUGUCACUGUUACUAUGUUGGUUAAUGUAAGAGCAUGUAGGGGUGGACCGCCUUUUUGUUUGAUCAGUUUUCUCCUGUUUCUGUUAGGUAGGGAGGAAAGUGAUUGUCGUUUGGUUUAGUUCUUUUGAGUAGGUAAGUUGUGUUUAUUCCUGAGAUAGGCUAUCUUUUGUUUGUUGUUUUGGCCUUGGGUUCACCCUGAAGUUAUGAUAUGCUCCCUUCCUUUGUUUAACUGCACUCAUUGUAAAUAAAUCACUGUCACAAAAUA